ACUCCGUGGAUCCACCGUCCUUAGGGUUGUUGGAGAGUCGUUUACUCCCGACGGUCAUCGAGUAUCCACAUAUAUCACACGGAAAUUUAAGGAAAGAGUCUGCAUAUCUAGGACUACAUGGAGACAUGUAGAUGCUGCAACUAAGGAUUUCUAUUAUCAAGAAUUUGUGAAAAAAUAUACAUAGGAGGAGGGGCACGAGGUAGAAUUUGCAAAAUCUUGGAAUAUUUAUUGUGCAAGGUUGUACAAAGACCUAUUAUACUAUGUG